rnacentral:rRNA from 1 species
UACGAAGGGGGGCUAGCGUUGUUCGGAAUUACUGGGCGUAAAGCGCACGUAGGCGGAUAUUUAAGUCAGGGGUGAAAUCCCAGAGCUCAACUCUGGAACUGCCUUUGAUACUGGGUAUCUUGAGUAUGGAAGAGGUAAGUGGAAUUGCGAGUGUAGAGGUGAAAUUCGUAGAUAUUCGCAGGAACACCAGUGGCGAAGGCGGCUUACUGGUCCAUAACUGACGCGUGGAGGUGCGAAAGCGGUGGGGAGCAAACAGG